UAUUUAUUUAUUUAUUUAUUUUUUUUUUUUGGUUCUUUUUUUCGGAGCUGGGGACCGAACCCAGGGCCUUGCACUUCCUAGGUAAGCGCUCUACCACUGAGCUAAAUCCCCAGCCCCAUUUAUUUAUUUUAUAUGAAUACACUGUCACUUUCUUCAGACACACCAGAAGAGGGCAUCAGAUCCCUUUACAGAUGGUUGUGAGCCUCCAUGUGGUUUCUGGGAGUUGAACUCAGGACCUCUGGAAGAGCAGUCCACUGAGCCAUCUCUUCAGGCCCCAGAACUCUGGCUUUGAACUCACAGAGAUUUGCCUGUCUCUGCCUUCCCAGGGUGGGUAUUAAAGGUGUGUGCCGCCACCGCCCAGCACAUUAGGUGUCUUUUGAGGUUGCCUUGGUCAUGGUGUUUUGUCACAGCAGCAGAAAAGUCACUAAAAUGAGGCUGGAGGUGCUACUUACUCGGAGUGGCCCAGGCUGUGGCUCAGAGCCCUGCUCUGCCCUCUGCAGUGUGGCCUCUGGUAUCUCGGGGACCUGGGUUGCUGUAGCAUCUCCCCAGAAGUCUCCAAAAAUUAUAAAGCGCAUCUAUAACCAUGUCCUGAGUGCAGGCCUGGACCUUGGGCAGUCGCUGAGCCAGGCCAGGCAAUAUCCUGCAUUCAAAGCUGCCUCACAUCUCCCAGAAGAGCAAAGGGGCCAACAGCUAUUCCUGAAGGCUCAGAGAAAGUUCUUGGAAGCCCCCAGAAUCUGGACAGUAAGCCAGAGAGGUUCAGAGAACACACCAAGGGAGUCUAGAAGAGCCGAUGACCUUUUUGCUUUUGUCUUUUGGCACUCGCGACCAGUUGUAUUCGGCUGGCUUCCCAUGUCUUGUGUCUAGGCCUUAGGAAAACUGAGGCCCAGAGCUCCCUGGCUGGGCUGUGAGGCAUGGAAGGCCACUCAAUAGAUAGACUGCCAAUGACAUAGGCAGUUGCCCAUAGACUGUGGUCUUCCUCCAGGUAAGGAUGGUGGAAUGUGAGGUGCUACUGUUCCUGCUUCAGGAAAAAGAUCCAACUCCCCCCCCCAGGCUCUCCUCAUUUUGGCUUCCUCUGUGGGAAGGCUGCUUUAUGAAGAGAGCAAGGUAGAGUCCAUGAUGGAUGGGCACUGGUCGGGGGUGGGGAGUGGGGGGUGGCCUGCCCUGACUGGGCAGAUGGGAAGUAGCUGUCAGCACCUAAUGGGCCUGUGACAAAUGGGGUGGGAUUCAGUGGUAGCUACCUCUCCUCGCCUGCCCCCAGAAAGGCUCCAAGAGUGGCUAUUUCCAGCCCCAAACUCAGGAGUCAUUAUGUGAGUCUGGGGAAGCCCUGGAGAGGGCUGUGUCCAUUUCCUUGGUUCCGGGGUGGGGGGUGCAGUUUCCCCGAUCCCCAGCAUGGACAGAAGCAAACGGGUGGGGGCUGGGGCCUGAGGUGGGCUUCAAGUGGCCCACACCCUACUGACUGGCCAAAGCAACUGCUGAGCUCAGCGCUGGCUGACCCAGGGCUUUAGGGACCAUUAAAAACAUUCUGGGCUGCCGGCCGCCAGAGACAUCAAUCUGUGCUGGACACAGCUGCUUUUACCUCCCCCGAGCUCCUUCCAGAGCCUCGGCUCUCCAGCUUCGCUUUGGCCUCUCUCAGCUCCUAUCCUCCUAGAUGAGGGUCCCUCUGCCCUGCCACUCCAGAGAUGCCUAUCCCCACAGCCUCAGGCUACACGCUGCUGAGGGCUACCCUGGGGAACAUUCUGGGGGUCCCACUCUCAGGAAGCUGUACAGGAGAAGGGGGUGUCCAGCUAGGGAGGUGCCAUCAGUGCGUCAGAGGACCAGCAUGGGAAGAUGGGAAGCUGGAGGUGACAGCGGGGAUGGCCCUAGUGGCACUAUGCUUAAUGUCACUGACCUUUGCUGAAAAUGGCUGAGAGGAAACUUUGGAGUAUUUUCUAAUAGGCUGUGGAGGUCCAGUUCCAGCCUGUCUGGGCAGGAUCUGGGGUAGUUGUCUAUUUCUCAAGCUUGGGUGGGGUCCAGCUGCCCAUCCGAGGACCCUGGGAUUGAAGAGACGAUGACAGAGGUGGCUGGGCCCAGGCAGCAAGUGUGGCCCCUGGGUCCCAUUCACUGAUCCAAGGAGGAACAGCAGAGGGACAGCAAGCCAGGAACUUCCUGGGAGGCUGCUGUGAACGUUCUGUGUAACCAUGGAGGGGUAACCAUCCCAGGCCUGACUUAGGAGUCUUAGGGCUAGGGGGACAUGCCAUUGCCACCCAGAGAGGCACUUCCAAGGGAACAAAGCAGGGCUGGGCAUGGAAGACAAUUCACUGUGGGAAGAGCACUUCAUGGUGGCAGUGUGGGAUUUAGUCCCUCCUGCCCAUGCUGUGCCCAGUCUGUAAGAGAACCUGAAAACGCCCCUAGGUGGGAGGGAACGGGCCAGGCAAGCAGGAUCACUGGGACCCUGCUCUCACCAACCUUUAUGGUGCCCUGGGAUCUCUGGAAGGUGGGGCAGAAGACAGGGUGUUGAUGUGGCAGGGAUCAUGGCUGAGUUAAGGGAGCCAUUUUGUUCUUCGUGACCUGAGUUGCUGCAUCCCCAGCUUCCCAGUACACCGAGCCAAGGUUGCUGACCUGGCAGGGGCAGAGGGCAGGCUGCCACUGAGGCCGAGACGGGCGCCGCCAGUCCAGAGGGCUGCUCACUCACCAUUGAUCGGCCAGGAGGCUCUUCUGAGGUGUAUGAUGCUGCUUGUCCUGGUCAGGAAAAAAAAAAGCGGCCUUGCUCUGGGUAAUUGAUUGGUCCUCCUCUUUAAGAAUAUUCAUACAGCUCAGUUCCAAGAACAGGCGAGUCCCAGGCCCUAGUCAAGCCAGUCAUGAGGUGGGGAACACAGGACGCAACCCAUAGCCUCUCCCAAGCACAGAGUCCCUGCUCCUGACAGGAACAGCUACGGAACAGGGGGGAAAUGCUGGUGGUAGGAGGGUGGGGACUGCCUUCACAUAGAUGCUACUGCCUACCCUGAACAUUUCCAGGAGAUAAAAGGAACAAACCUUACUCUGUAUGCUGUGUGAUCCUGGCAGGUCUCUGAGCCUCUUUGGUGCUAAAACAGGAGCCCAAGACUAGCCCAGAACUUGUGAAGUAAAUCAGAGUCCCAGGCACCUCCCCUCUGUCCCUCUAACCACUUCUUCACAAUAACCAGGUGACGUUUUGUCUAUAGAUCCUCUUCUGUAUCAAGUGAACUGCCUGCUUAGCCCCUCCCCUUCCCACACAGCGCGACUAAAGCCUCCUCAGCCCGCCUGGGGGACUCCUAAGUAUUCUUCAAAACCCUCUUCUUUCCCACUUUGGGUUACUGUGUUCUGGUACCUGAGCACCCAGUAGCAGAUGCUGUCUUUGUCCAUGGGAGGUCCCUGUUACUUCCUGGCCCAUUGAGUGUUUGCCAAGGGAUUCAUUGGGUCCAGCUCCUCCAUGGUGAACAAAGACUUGGGUCAAGUGAGCUGAGAUCAUGUGCGUUAUAAAACACAGAGGUUUAUACAUUGAAUCUGUGCAUGUGUCUGUUUUGCCCCGACCACUGCUGGUAAGGAAACAGAGGCCAGAUGUUGCUGAAACAGGAGGGGGACAUCUCCAUUGGAAAGUUGUUCUAGCCAUGACACCUGACAGGCAAAGUCUCUGGGGUCAGGUCAGUGCCCUAGGUUUUGUAUGAGAGUCCUGGGAGUAGAGACUGGAUCAAGUCCUACACUGUCUCCAUGAGUCCCCCUCACUUGGGUCCCCAGAGGAGACAGCAGAAUGGGGGAGAGCUGGAUGCCACCAACAGAUCGUCUGGCCUCUAUGACAGGAUGGCGCCCUGGUAUGGCUAUGGGGCCAGGUCAGCACUGGUCAGCAUUGCCUCUCCCCAAGGGGCUGAGACCAGCAGGGGUCCGGAUGAUCUACUAUUGAUGAGGAGAGCGGGAGGGAACAGGCCCGGCCUGGGUCAGCAGAUCCGCUAUGCACAGGAUGUGCCUAGCUAUUGAUCCAAUAGACACAGGCUGGAUUGGGCUCUUGGGGGUUAGUCCGUUCAGACACAGUCUUGGGAGCAGGACUGUUUCUCCAUCAUGAGUGUGUGAUGUUUCCCAGUGCUUAAGCAAUGACUCCAAAGGCCACCUACAUACAGAGGACACCUGGCCCCCAGCUCCAUCCCUGACAACCAGGCUGUGGCUGUCUUGCUGACUGGUUGGCUUUGGGUGCCCCAGGACACAGACACUCCUGCAGAGACCAUGAUGCUAGUGAGAGAGUAGUGUGGUUACAGGCAGCAUGAGAUCUACAGGCCAGAAAGGGAAGCUGGCACAGGCAUAGAGAGGAGGGCAGGGGUCCCCAAAUGUCCUCUUGAACCCUGAAGACAGCCAUGAGGGAGACGCAAGAGGAGACCCUGACAGGCAGGAUAGCAGAUCUGCCAGAAGUGAGGAACUUUGUUGAUGGUGACUUGGAUUUUGCUACUGGCCCUGGGAAACCUUCAGAAUGGGCCCAUGCUCAGGUGGGGCUACUGCAGCCCUCUGUCUGUCUGUCUGCGUGACUUGCAGCUGGUGUGCACAGCCGCAGAUCAAUAGUAGGAAGCUGGUUUACUUGGUGAGCUCUGACAGCCUGUGGAGUCUCUCUAGACUGCAGACAGGGCCUCGGGCUGCCCACACUUCCCACCCAGCCACUACCACUAAUGAAUUGGGAUUUAAUCUAAGAGACUUUGGCAGGAAGUCUGACUCCAGGGGGCACUUGGUGAGGAGUGAGCAGGUGGUUAGGUUCUCCUGAUAGCCUGUUACCACCCACCUGCUCUUUGGGGCAGGAGCCAGGACUAAGCCUCAGUGGGCAGUUGACAGCACAUGACACAUCUCUCACAGUCGGGGCUCUGUUGGUAAAGUGAUAGAGUGAGAAAAGAAACCAGACAAUUCCUUCAGCAGCUUUGGGAGCUGGGUUUUCCGGAACGAGAGUAUAUUUACAAGGUAUGGUCUACAGAUCACGUGACCCCUGCCAGAGCAGAGUUAGUCAAGGGGACUGUGAGGAACAGGUCUUGGGUAUGGGUGGCCCUCAUGGCUCCUGAGGGACACUGAAUGCCAGGUAAGUUUUAUCAUCAUGGGCUUUCCCCAGAAAUGUCCUGCCCAGGGCCAUGAACCCCAAGGAAACUAGCAUAGGUGUCUGCUCUGCCUUCCUGGUAGGGUCCCCUGGCUGCUGUUAGGAUGGCAGCGAGUAUCUCAAGACAGUACUCCAUAGAGAGGGAAAGGGGCUUGUCAAUUUAAUGAGAAAAAUCUAUCCAGUCUCUUAGCCAUGUGCCUGACUGACAUAGGGCAAGAGCGAUCUCAGACAUCCGGCUUCAGCCUGGCUCAGCUUGUGACUCAAAAUGUAGAUGUGGGAAAGAAGCCCCCGCCCCACCCCAGGCAAGCCUGUCUGUGGGCUUCCUUAGGCCUCCUGAAGAGAUCGUUUGGCUUCUGACCUCUUCAGCAGCAAGCUUGUCCCAUGCAUCUCUGGCCUCCUCAGCCUCCCUCCCACCCCCAACAUCCCUAAGCUUCCUUAGCCUCCUUUGGCUGUUUUAGGCUCCUCCCUCAGUCACCUUGGACCUUUCUAGCUUCCACAGUCCUCUUGCUGGACAAUCCCUAGAUUGUCCAUCUGUCAUAUGGCCUAGGUAUGAGGUCCUGGGUCCCAGCUGUCCUCCUGUUUGCAUAGAAAGGGAUAGGAAAGCCACCUUCAUUUGUCCCCAAGUGAGAGCUGCCCAAUUCCUCAGGGUGCCUAGCCACCCUGUGGUCACCUUUAUAGCCCAAUGGCCUUCUCCCAUUAACAGCUAACAGCGUUGUUAUGACAGCUACUAGCUAAGGUCCACCAGCCUUGGCCCAAUCACCCACUCUGUGUUUGCACAGCCACAUCCUGACAGGUACCACGGACCGGGUGAUGCUCCUAUGACUACUUUCAUAGUCACCUUAUCUUUGUGGUCGUCCCUCCUCAGAGUCACUUCCCACCAUGGUCACCUCAUCUCACUAUCACUUCAUCCUUAAAACAGUCACCUUGCUCAGUGGUCACCCAGCUCAACCCAUGGUCACCUCACUCUGUGGUCACUUUACCUCCACGGUGACCUCGUUCCAUGGUGGCCUUGUCCUCAUGGGCGUUUUCUCCUCACAGAUACCACCGUUUGCCACCAGCAGCCCAUCUCAGUCUGCCUAACUACCAUUCAUGGAGGUCUGCCCUUUCACCCUGUAGCUUCCCAGGCUGGUCCUGCCCAUUUGGCCGUGUGUCAGGGAGCCAAUGGCUCACUUCCCGGAUGGGGGUCCAGGCCUGGGGCCUCUUGGGGGUCAUGGAGCCAGAGGCUCUGGGCUGACAACAGGGGCAGGUGUCACUCUUAGAAGUAAACACCGCCCGCUUAUAAUGAAUGGUGGGCCGCGGGGGAGCCACUGCGGUAUUUAACAGCCAAUAUUGGACUGUGCGGCUCAGCCUGGAACAGGCGCAUUAUGAAGGCUAAUGGAUUUUUGAGGCCAGAUUGAUUUUUCAUUAAUUUGGUAAAAAUCUUUUUCCUCUCCCCUAUAAUUCUGUCUUAAAACGCUCCCCCUGACAGCUCGAUAAGUCACUCCCGCCUUAAUGCACGUCUGGCUCAACGUCUGGGGCUGCGGGGGGGGAGGGGAAGUCAGAGCAGCUGCCAAUCACCCCCCAGGUAAAUACUGCAUUAUGCAUGGGGAUGGAGCCUGGCCCACCCCGAGGUGGACACACAGAGCAGCAGCUAGUCCAGGCUGCUGUGGACCGUUUCUGUGGGUUAGGCCUUGGCCACAGGCCUCCUAGGGCUUUUGGGAUGACAGCAAGUUACAGGACGUCAUUGUGAGGAGACCUGAAGCAGAGACCCCUCCAUGAAGGAUGGGACCUAAGAUUUGUAAGGCCUCUUGCUCACUCCCCCGCUCCCCCACCACAGCUCCAGCCUAAAGUCCGCAAUCCAGUCUGGAUUCUCACAACAGGGGGCUGCCAUUUCAAUCCUAGCCAAGGCUCUGUGUCCAGCUCUAGCCAUCAGCAGCUGGACCAGCCUGGGCCGGGCAGAGCUAUUUUCCCAUUUUCCAGCUCUCCUUGACUUCCUCCUCUAGAUGCUCCCACACUCCAUCCCGGGUUCCUAGGCUGUCCUUCCUUCUUCUCUACAGGUGACACUGGAGCUUCAGGUGACACUGGCCUUUCCGUCCAGCCAAAGAGUACACCCGGCAUCUCCUUCAUUGCCUUGGUGUCCACUCGAAUGCCAGCACCAAGAGAUCCCGCUAGAGCUGUCCACCGUUCCUAAUGCUACCCCGCUUCCCACGAGUCACAUCCUCAUGGCUGCCUGGGCCCAGACUGAACACUUAAGUGUCAGGGAUGGCGAAGAACAGAGUGAUGCAUAAAGGUGUUGAUGCCAGAAUAGAAGAUUUUGUUGGCAAAGCAGAAAGGAAUCGCGGCAUACGCGCCCGCGCCUCAGCCUCCUGCCCAGGGAGCCACUGUGAAAAUGAAGCACCCCUCCGUGGUGUGACGGCGAGUGCACAGACACCUCACUUCUUUGGGCCUUAUGUUUUCCCUGCUGGCUCUGGACCCUGGCUCUGCACUGGCUGUGAGGAGACAGGCAGGUCCCUUGUUCUUCCCAGGCAGCACAUGUGUAUGACAUCUGUCCCGUCUUCCUCAGGUACUCGGAGCCCUCACUGACCAGCUGGCCCGAGCCUUGUUCACGACCCUAGGGUCCACCUAUGAUCCACAAGAGUAAGCACUAUGUGACUGGGCCAGAAGGGGGUGCAGUCCAGAGCAGGGGUGUGGCCACGCGAAAGCAGCCCAAGGAGGCGACAUUGACUCUGAAGGCUGACGAGGUGCCAGCUAGGUAGGAGGGUUUGGGGAACUGUGUGGGGCUGGGUGGUAGGAAGACAUAUGCCAGGGUACAUGGGCCAGAACCGUCUACAUGCUGGUUACAUACACCUAUUUUCCUGUCUAAGCAAGUUCACGCAGAGGUAGGGCUUUCCUGGACACUCCGUCCCAGCCCAGACAGAAUUCUAGACUCAGGGGACCCUGGUCUCAGGGGUUUUCUCAACCUGGGCCUGAGUCAAGGACCUCUGUCCUGCCCAGGGACAGUGUGUUCUGGGCACUCGUCUCACCCUGCGGGAGGGCAGGGCUGAGCCACUCAGACACAGUGACACAGAACUGUACCAGAUUCCUUCCGGGAGGAGUCACCACAGCACCGGGACAGCCUUAAGAGAGGCCCCCGAAGUGGGGAAACUUUUGAGCCGGGGACUUAAGAGUUAAAGCCCAGUUAGCAGAGGCCCAGGAGCAGAGGCCCAGGCCCAGAAAGGUUAGCAGAGAGUGUGGAGACAGGCCCUGGUAGCCUGGCCACUCACUGUGGAGGAGGUGAGGCAGCUCCCAUGUUCAUCUUGACAGAUCACCCAAGGUGUGUGUGUGUGUGUGUGUGUGUGUGUGUGUGUGUGUGUGUGUGUGGUGUCCCACACUCACUGUCCUCCACAAGAUCUGCCCACCUUGUCAUCCCUGAUUAUCAUGUAAUGGCUUCCUUGACGUACAGUUUUAUUAAUAAAAUUAGCAAGUGUUGAGCC